rnacentral:rRNA from 1 species
UUCCAUCUGGAAGAAGUCUGGAGACAGGUGCUGCAUGGCUGUCGUCAGCUCGUGUCGUGAGAUGUGGGUUAAGUCCCGCAACGAGCGCAACCCUUGCCUUUAGUUGCCAGCAGUUCGGCUGGGCACUCUAAAGGGACUGCCGGUGUUAAACCGGAGGAAGGUGGGGAUGACGUCAAGUCCUCAUGGCCUUUAUGACCAGGGCUACACACGUACUACAAUGGCCGAUACAAAGGGCAGCGACACUGCGAGGUGAAGCCAAUCCCGUAAAAUCGGUCUCAGUCCGGAUUGGAGUCUGCAACUCGACUCCAUGAAGUUGGAAUCGCUAGUAAUCGUGGAUCAGCAUGCCACGGUGAAUACGUUCCCGGGCCUU